rnacentral:rRNA from 1 species
UACGUAGGUGGCAAGCGAUACUCGGAAUCACUAGGCGUAAAGCGCAGGUAGGCGGUUUGAUAAGUCUCUUGUGAAAGCUCCCGGCUCAACUGGGAGAGGUCAAGGGAAACUGUCAGGCUAGAGUGUGGCAGAGGAAGCUAGAAUUCCCGGUGUAGCGGUGAAAUGCGUAGAUAUCGGGAGGAAUACCUAUGGCGAAAGCAGGCUUCUGGGCCGUCACUGACGCUGAUCUGCGAAAGCUAGGGGGAGCAAACAGG